CCUACGGGCGGCAGCAGUGGGGAAUAUUGGACAAUGGGGGCAACCCUGAUCCAGCCAUGCCGCGUGUGUGAAGAAGGCCCUCGGGUUGUAAAGCACUUUCAGUGAGGAAGAACGCCUGGUGGUUAAUACCCAUCAGGAAAGACAUCACUCACAGAAGAAGCACCGGCUAACUCCGUGCCAGCAGCCGCGGUAAUACGGAGGGUGCGAGCGUUAAUCGGAAUUACUGGGCGUAAAGCGCGCGUAGGUGGCUUGAUAAGCCGGUUGUGAAAGCCCCGGGCUCAACCUGGGAACGGCAUCCGGAACUGUCAAGCUAGAGUGCAGGAGAGGAAGGUAGAAUUCCCGGUGUAGCGGUGAAAUGCGUAGAGAUCGGGAGGAAUACCAGUGGCGAAGGCGGCCUUCUGGACUGACACUGACACUGAGGAGCGAAAGCGUGGGUAGCAAACAGGAUUAGAUACCCCGGUAGUC
rnacentral:rRNA from 1 species